UAGGGAAUCUUCCGCAAUGGACGAAAGUCUGACGGAGCAACGCCGCGUGAGUGAAGAAGGAUUUCGGUUCGUAAAACUCUGUUGUUAGGGAAGAAAAAAUGUAUAGUAACUAUAUACAAAAGAGACGGUACCUAACCAGAAAGCCACGGCUAACUACGUGCCAGCAGCCGCGGUAAUACGUAGGUGGCAAGCGUUGUCCGGAAUUAUUGGGCGUAAAGCGCGCGCAGGUGGUUUAGAAAGUCUGAUGUGAAAGCCCACGGCUCAACCGUGGAGGGUAAGUGGAAACUAAUAAACUUGAGUGCAGGAGAGAAAAGUGGAAUUACUAGUGUAGCGAUGAAAUGCGUAGAGAUUAGGAGGAACACCGGUGGCGAAAGCGGCUUUUUGGCCUGCAACUGACACUGAGGAGCGAAAGCGUGGGGAGCAAACAGG
rnacentral:rRNA from 1 species